UGGAAAUCACAUGCUGUCAUUUCUGCGAUUGGUCAUAACCAGUUCUGAUUCCAUGUUAGAGGAGACUACAUAAGGACACAGGUACCAGAAGCUGGAUCCACUGACCUGGAAUGCCUGUACUGAAGCAGGAGACUAACCAGCAUGGGCUACAUCAAAAAGGCUGUCAUCUACUUUCUGCUGGGUAGGGGCACCAGAGAGACUUGUCAGAAACUAGAAGGAAGGUAGAGUGCGAAAUCUGAGUGUUAAUUCCCUGGCUUCAUCAAAGGACACUGGUCUUCACAAGGAAACAGACUACAUGAUUCUCCUUUUGGGCUUCAGUAAAAACCCCCUCCUUUCAUCCCUUAGUCUAGGGAUGGUAAGAGGUCAGCAGCUAAGAAUUCCAGGUUCUUUGUGGUUUUCCCGUAUACAUGUCUUUGAUGAUAGCCCCUUUGGAAAUAAAUUCUCCUAGACUUUUUUUUUUAGGGUGAUUGGGUCAUUGUUUUUUCUCCUGGAACCCUGAGUCCUCAAAUCAACCCUAUCUGAAAUGUACCAUUAUUGCUACAUUUUAUAAUAGAGGAAGACAGAUGGCUUAUAUAAUUUGAUGAAGAUCACACAUUUUGUAAGAAGAGCUGGGAUUGGAACUGUAGCAGUCUAGCUUUUCAGAUCAUGCUCUUGAUCACCACAAUAAGUAUCAAUAAGUGUCAAUAAUCACUAUAAUAAGUGCCAUUGUAGCAUAAUGACACUCUACUUAGAGCAAUAGCUAAGUUCAAGUCAUCUUUUCCUAUGAAACUUUCCAUUUAUUUGACUAUUAUUGCUUCAUAGACCCUACCCCUCAAGUUUAUUGAGGGUCAUACUUAAAUUUUCUAUGCUUGUGCUCUUUUUUAAUAAUCACAGAAAGAGUGUACCUAUCUAGGGGGCAGAGACUACAGGUUCAGUUUUUUCACCCACGGCAAGUAGUCCUAUCCUGAGAACUUGGUACA
rnacentral:lncRNA from 1 species